rnacentral:rRNA from 1 species
AGCGAACGCUGGCGGCAGGCCUAACACAUGCAAGUCGAGCGCCCAGCAAUGGGAGCGGCAGACGGGAUAGUAACACGUGGGAACGUACCUUUCAGUUCGGAACAACCAAGGGAAACUUUGGCUAAUACCGAAUACGCCCGUAAGGGGAAAGAUUUAUCGCUGAAAGAUCGGCCCGCGUCUGAUUAGCUAGUUGGUGAGGUAAUGGCUCACCAAGGCGACGAUCAGUAGCUGGUCUGAAAGGAUGAUCCGCAUCACUGGACUGAGACACGGCCCAGCCUCUUACAGUAGGCAGCAGUGGGUACUAUUGUACAAUUGGCUCAAGCCUGCUCCAGCCAUGCCGCGUGCGUGAUGAAGGCCUUAGGGUUGUAAAGCUCUUUCGUCAGGGAAGAUAAUGACGGUACCUGAAGAAGAAGCCCCGGCUAACUUCGUGCCAUCCGCCGCCGUAACAC